rnacentral:misc_RNA from 1 species
CCGAGUUAUACAACUCAUCAACCCUGUGAACAUACCUAUAACGUUGCCUCGGCGGGAACAGACGGCCCCGUAACACGGGCCGCCCCCGCCAGAGGACCCCCUAACUCUGUUUCUAUAAUGUUUCUUCUGAGUGAACAAGCAAAUAAAUUA